GAGCCGGAAAAAUUCUGAAAAGCCUGCUUACCCUUUUACUUUUCAAUUCACAGAAACCAAACAGCACAUUCUGGGGAUGGCCCCUCCACCUUGAACCCCUGCAGUGGCUUCAUCACUCUCAAUGUCAACACAGACGAGCUGUCAUUUUUUCCCUCCCCCUCUAAACUGCCAAGAGUCCCUUCAAGUAGGGGCUCCCACCCCACCGUGGAAGCCCUGGAUUCGCCAGGAGCCCAACGCUCGGCCUGAGGCUACGAUUUCCCCCUUUCUAGAAAGUGCACUCGGUGUUCAUAUUUGCUGGCGAUUCAAACUCCCUGCUGAGCAGAGCAUCUACUGUUGCAUCGAUAUAUUCCACUGCGGGCGCGAUCUCAAAUGGGGGCGAAAUAAAGUCCAGAUGCAAUCGAGACAAGGGAUUUGGCAUCCGCGGAGAAAAGUACAAACCAACCCAAUCCUCUACCCCAAACAGGGCGACAGAGCCGGCGCUCUCUCGGGGGAAGAGGUAUCCCAGGGAAGAAUUGCUGUGAAUAAGUAAACUGAGAAGCCAGAAAGGCUUAACACUGUGCUGAGGAUCUGCCGGGGAUAGAGAAAUGGAAGCGGUCCAGCCUCUGCGCCUUCAGUGCUCAUGGUCUAGGGGCUGAGACGGGUAAGUAAGCAUCCCUGAGGGGGAGAGCUUCACUCAAUCUGGGUCCCUAAGCUUUGCCUGGGGAGGCAGAAA
rnacentral:lncRNA from 1 species